CAUGUACUCCCUCCGUCCCAAAAUAAGUGACUCAACUUUGUAGUAACUUUAGUACAAAGUUGAGUCACUUAUUUUGGGACGGAGGGAGUAUAUU
rnacentral:pre_miRNA from 1 species